rnacentral:lncRNA from 1 species
GAGAGCUCUUACGUAAAUUGGUCUGCUAUUUCCCAAAUAAGAGAGAAUGCGAGUUUUCAUUGAGAGGCUGAAACAGCUGAACUGAUACUUUUAAAUUUGCUCAGUUUUGUAUGUGUGUAUGCUGGUGGGUGGGGAUGAUACUUUGGAAAUGCUAACAUAUUUUCUUUCUUAUAUUUCCUCUUAUACCUGUCUCUUCUACCACAUUUGACAAACUAAACUAGUCUGUGUUCACUGGACUAGAUGAAGAAAAUUCCUACACAGAAAAGAGAAAAGGGAGUUGCUUUCCUGGUUUUUGAGUUUCAAAAGCAGAGACUCUGAGAAGAUUCCCAGAAUGCUCAACAAAGAGUGCUUAAGAAUUCUCUCACUAGGGAUAGGAGCUAGAGAAGCAGCACCAAUGAGUCCGUAAGGAAGAAGCUGUGUGUGCCCUGCUUUCUGGACCACUGGAAAACUCAGAUGGACUUGUUGAAUCUGAAAACAGAGGGUCUCUGAGUCCUCUCCUAGCUAGAGCCCUCGUUAAGUGAUAGACACUAGAAGAAGAGUGACUGUGUGAUGCCUAGGCAGACUGGACUUCAGAAAUGCAGGAUUCCCCUCAGUUCUAAUGUGGCAUGGGAGUUGCACAGUGUUUCCUGGGUGUCCAGGAGUGGCCUAGAAACAGCAGUAAAAGAGAGCUACUCAAAGUCUGGUGGAAUAGAAGAAAAGACAUGGCAGCUACUAGAAUGAAUAUAUCUGUGGGUAACAGUAUGGAAAAAUGACAGUGGGUAUCAGCAUGGUAAAGUGAAAGGUUACUCUGAGGUCUUGGUGCCACCCUACGCCUUUAUACUGUGUAAAGCCCAGACCUUAUAUAUAAUAGACCCACCUUAGAAAAGGGGCUGAAUCCCACACUGCCAAUCUGGUGAAGAGCAGCUCAGUUCAGUUACAGGGGAAUAAAAAAGAGAUUGUUCCUGCAGGUCUGAGUAUGAAGAUAGAGAUUAGGACCUGCUGCUGAUUCAUUCAUUUAUUCACUCAUUUGACAAUAAUUUAUUGAGUGCCUGUGAAGUGGCUGGCACUGCUUAGGCAUUUAGGAAACUGCGAUAAAUGAGACACAAAAUUUCUGCCCUGGUGUAGCUUAUGUACUAGAUAGGGAGACAGAAAAUGUGUAGAAAACACAAAUAUCAUCGUGCUAUUGAGUCAAGUAGUGAUAAGGACUAGACAGAAAAAUAAAGCAGGGUCAGGAAUGUUAGCCUACUAGAAAAUGAAUAUAAAGAUAUUAAUGAUGAAUCUGAAUAGAACCCCUUAUUCUCAUUACCGAUCUUGUUGUGUGUUGUAUUGAUCCUGUGUUACUGAUCAGAGCACACAAUCAUUGACCACUUUCAAGGUGAGGGAUGCAAGAAAUGCUGAUGAAGUAGGUAAAUUGUCUAUCAUGCUUUUUAAAGAUCAGGGCUAAAGCUGAAGCUCUGUACCAGAUUUUGACUAAAGCCCAGGCCUGGAGAUGAACUUCAGUGCAAGCCUCAUAUAUGAUCUCUUUUAACUCUUUCAUACACCCCACUAGAUAGGUAUCUGUGCUCAGUUUUAUAGAUGACAGCAUGGGUCCUUAGAGAAUGUGAUUAACUGGACCAAGGUUAUACCAGGAUUCAAACUUAGGAUUAUGAGGCUCCCACUCUGCAAUAGACUGGGUUAAGCACCCUAGUGGUCUUUGUGGGCUGCACCUCUGGACUCUCUUGUUUUGCAGACAGUUUAAAGAUUUCAAACAGAAUGAAGAGCCUGAGAAAUCUUCUGCAGCUGUAGAAGACCUUCUUUUGGUCAGGUUGGUAUCCCACUACAAAGCAAGGGCCUGCCACAACCAGAUGCAUGUUUCAACGACAUCGAAAGACUCACCUUGGACUCAUCGCUGACUUGUCAACCAGAACUCCAAUAUCUGAGUUUGUCAAGAUCUCAAAGGACGUGGAGUGCAUUUGUAUUAUCAUAUAAAGCACGUGAAAUUAUGGUUUUCUCUGUGAAUUUUUCUAAAAGCAUACUUUGAAUUCUAUUGUUGGUAUUUCCAGUGAGAAGCAUAGAGCACAUGAUGCUGAGGCUUAGAAGUUGAGUAACUUGCCCAAGACCAUCUCACUAAUAAGUGGAAAAGUCAGAAUUCGAAAACAGAUUCAUCUGAAUUAAAAAGAAAGAAAGAAAGAAAGAAAGAAAGAAAGAAAGAAAGAAAGAAAGAAAAAAGAAAAAUCCACCCAAGGAGGAGCUAUGAAGUGCACUGUAUUUCAGCAGCUUUCUUUCUGACUGCAGUGUGGGGAUGGUUCUCUGGUCCCUGGUUUCCAGGCCCACUGGAAAGGCAGGUGUGAGCACAUGGCCAUAAUUCCUGUGCAAGAUGCUGUCAUUUCAGCUGGGGUAUGUUGAUGUGAUGAUGAGGACAAAGAGAAGCAGGGAGACUGUGAACAUAUUUAGAAUAUAAAAUUUGAGGAAUUUUGGGAUAGAUUAGAUGGAGGACGUUAGGCAAGGGAAGACUCGCUGGCAACUUUCUAGUACCUGGUUGGUUGCCUGGGUAUAUCGGGGCAUCAUUCACUAAAUAGGAAAUUCUAGAAAGGGAACAGGAAUUGGCAAAAAGAUAAUGAGUUCAGUUAGGGGGAUAUACUUAAGAGUGUCUAAGUAGAACUUCUAGUAGACAUUUGUAUACAUGAGCCUGAAAUUCAGAGGGAAUGACUUAAAUCUUCUAUUUUUGUGCUGUAUGAUUAUUUGACUUAAAAUUCUUUUUAGUUAGUAAAAGUUUUUCACUUAAUAAUUAGAGGAAAUCAAGGGAGUGUCUAUUAGUGAAUCAGAGCCUCUUAGAGAAACCUGUUCCAUAUUAUCCUGUUAAAUGCUUGGGUGAGGUUUUCCUCUUUAUUGCAUUUUUCCAUUGCUAAAAUCAUUCUGCAUCAUUAACUUUAUUGUAUUGCAUGUUGCUUAUUGUCUGGAAACAAAUAGCUGAUUGUGUCACCUCUAGUUCUGUAAUGUCAAACUUACCUUGGUUGUGAGAUGAACGAUCCACCUCCAUCAAUUAUUGCCAAUUGUCUCUUUGAAAAUAUAUGCCAUAGUACCUAUUUUUCUUCUACAUCAUCUUCUAAUUUCAAAGAAUUAUAAUUUUUUCCUUUAAUUAAACAUUUGGCCCUUCAAUAUUGCCUUGUUUAUAAUCCUGGGCCCAAAUGAAAAUACCAUGAUUAAAUAAAUCUUAGGAGUCCCAGCUGAGAUUAUCUCAACAAGGAAACUGUAAAAUGCUCUAAGACAAAAAGAAAUAGAGGAUGGUAAUGAGAGAUAAAAAGCAUUAUCUCACUGAACAAAGGAAAGAAGACAUGAAAGCCAAAAUGGGCUGACUACAGAUCUUCUGACCUUAAGCUGAGUGUUUGGUGUGGCUUCCUUCAUGGAAUGGAUGGUUGCAAUGAAUUUUGGUCUCCCAGCAUUUGAGCAUUCUUCAUAUGUUUGUGAGUCCCCCACCCUCCAUUACAUUAUAAAGAGCUGGCUCCUACUAGAGAAGCUGAAAACAUCACAAUUGUUCGCCUAGACCCUGGGAGCUUAGGAGUGGGCACGUGACCCAGACCUUGGCAAUGAGGGAUAGCCACUCCAUGCUCAAAGCUGGAUGCUGAUAACAUGGAAAAGGAAGGACCGCAUGGACUCUGUUCUGGAGAGAAUGGCAGCAGCAACACUGAGUUUUCUGAGGCAGUAGAAAGUGGCUCUGGGGACCGAAUAUGUGCCUACUGCCCAUGAGUUGGAAGUACACAUUGUGGACUUUGUGUCCAGCUCUUGCGCAGUUGUGUCUUCAUCAGACCAGCUCUGCUGUAUGUGAUUUUGGACACUGCUUUUGUUUGCCAAGCUUCCAUACCUGGCCCUUCUAGAGCUUUUGUAAGAUACCCAAUACCCUUUUAUUAAAACUAUUCUCUGCUCACAUUAGCUAGAGAUGUUGUCUUUUGCUUGCAACUGAGUGAUUCAUCCUAAUUCCAUGUGAUACACUAAAUUUUAAGGAUCUCAAAUCUCUGUCCUCCUGUAGCUCCU